AGAGUUUGAUCCUGGCUCAGGACGAACGCUGGCGGCGUGCGUAACACAUGCAAGUCGAACGAGAGAGUGAGAGAAGCUUGCUUUUCUUACGAUCGAGUGGCAAACGGGUGAGUAACGCGUAAACAACCUGCCCCGCAGAUGGGGACAACAGCUGGAAACGGCUGCUAAUACCGAAUACGAUCCUCUUAGCGCAUGGUAAGAGGAAGAAAGGGUGGCCUCUGGGACAAGCUACCGCUGCGGGAGGGGUUUGCGUCUGAUUAGCUGGUUGGAGGGGUAACGGCCCACCAAGGCGACGAUCAGUAGCCGGUCUGAGAGGAUGAACGGCCACACUGGAACUGAGACACGGUCCAGACUCCUACGGGAGGCAGCAGUGGGGAAUCUUCCGCAAUGGGCGAAAGCCUGACGGAGCAACGCCGCGUGAGUGAAGAAGGAUUUCGGUUCGUAAAGCUCUGUUGUUAGGGAAGAAUGGAUAUGUAGUAACUAUACAUAUAAGAGACGGUACCUAACCAGAAAGCCACGGCUAACUACGUGCCAGCAGCCGCGGUAAUACGUAGGUGGCAAGCGUUGUCCGGAAUUAUUGGGCGUAAAGCGCGCGCAGGUGGUUUAAUAAGUCUGAUGUGAAAGCCCACGGCUCAACCGUGGAGGGUCAUUGGAAACUGUUAAACUUGAGUGCAGGAGAGAAAAGUGGAAUUCCUAGUGUAGCGGUGAAAUGCGUAGAGAUUAGGAGGAACACCAGUGGCGAAGGCGGCUUUUUGGCCUGUAACUGACACUGAGGCGCGAAAGCGUGGGGAGCAAACAGGAUUAGAUACCCUGGUAGUCCACGCCGUAAACG
rnacentral:rRNA from 1 species